rnacentral:rRNA from 1 species
GGGUUGUGAGGUUAAGCGACUAAGCGUACACGGUGGAUGCCCUGGCAGUCAGAGGCGAUGAAGGGCGUGCUAAUCUGCGAUAAGCGCCGGUAAGGUGAUAUGAACCGUUAUAACCGGCGAUACCCGAAUGGGGAAACCCAGUGUGACUCGUCACACUAUCAUUAACUGAAUCCAUAGGUUAAUGAGGCGAACCGGGGGAACUGAAACAUCUAAGUACCCCGAGGAAAAGAAAUCAACCGAGAUUCCCCCAGUAGCGGCGAGCGAACGGGGAGGAGCCCAGAGCCUGAAUCAGCAUGUGUGUUAGUGGAAGCGUCUGGAAAGGCGCGCGAUACAGGGUGACAGCCCCGUACACAAAAGCGCAUGUGCUGUGAGCUCGAUGAGUAGGGCGGGACACGUGGUAUCCUGUCUGAAUAUGGGGGGACCAUCCUCCAAGGCUAAAUACUCCUGACUGACCGAUAGUGAACCAGUACCGUGAGGGAAAGGCGAAAAGAACCCCGGCGAGGGGAGUGAAAAAGAACCUGAAACCGUGUACGUACAAGCAGUGGGAGCACAGGUUUACCUGUGUGACUGCGUACCUUUUGUAUAAUGGGUCAGCGACUUAUAUUCUGUAGCAAGGUUAACCGAAUAGGGGAGCCGGAGGGAAACCGAGUCUUAAUUGGGCGUUAAGUUGCAGGGUAUAGACCCGAAACCCGGUGAUCUAGCCAUGGGCAGGUUGAAGGUUGGGUAACACUAACUGGAGGACCGAACCGACUAAUGUUGAAAAAUUAGCGGAUGACCUGUGGCUGGGGGUGAAAGGCCAAUCAAACCGGGAGAUAGCUGGUUCUCCCCGAAAGCUAUUUAGGUAGCGCCUCGUGAAUUCAUCUCCGGGGGUAGAGCACUGUUUCGGCUAGGGGGCCAUCCCGGCUUACCAACCCGAUGCAAACUGCGAAUACCGGAGAAUGUUAUCACGGGAGACACACGGCGGGUGCUAACGUCCGUCGUGAAGAGGGAAACAACCCAGACCGCCAGCUAAGGUCCCAAAGUCAUGGUUAAGUGGGAAACGAUGUGGGAAGGCCCAGACAGCCAGGAUGUUGGCUUAGAAGCAGCCAUCAUUUAAAGAAAGCGUAAUAGCUCACUGGUCGAGUCGGCCUGCGCGGAAGAUGUAACGGGGCUAAACCAUGCACCGAAGCUGCGGCAGCGAACGUAUCACUUAAAGCGAUUCAGCGGGUUACGAUUGACGGAGCGAAGCGACGUCAAAGCGUAUACAAAGUCGAGUCGGUUUAAGGAUACGUUCGUUGGGUAGGGGAGCGUUCUGUAAGCCUGCGAAGGUGGCCUGUGAGGGUUGCUGGAGGUAUCAGAAGUGCGAAUGCUGACAUAAGUAACGAUAAAGCGGGUGAAAAGCCCGCUCGCCGGAAGACCAAGGGUUCCUGUCCAACGUUAAUCGGGGCAGGGUGAGUCGACCCCUAAGGCGAGGCCGAAAGGCGUAGUCGAUGGGAAACGGGUUAAUAUUCCCGUACUUGGUGUUACUGCGAAGGGGGGACGGAGAAGGCUAUGUUGGCCGGGCGACGGUUGUCCCGGUUUAAGCGUGUAGGUGUGUGUUCCAGGUAAAUCCGGUUCACUUUAACACUGAGGCGUGACGACGAGGCACUACGGUGCUGAAGCAACAAAUGCCCUGCUUCCAGGAAAAGCCUCUAAGCAUCAGGUAACAUCAAAUCGUACCCCAAACCGACACAGGUGGUCAGGUAGAGAAUACCAAGGCGCUUGAGAGAACUCGGGUGAAGGAACUAGGCAAAAUGGUGCCGUAACUUCGGGAGAAGGCACGCUGACAUGUAGGUGAAGUGAUUUACUCACGGAGCUGAAGUCAGUCGAAGAUACCAGCUGGCUGCAACUGUUUAUUAAAAACACAGCACUGUGCAAACACGAAAGUGGACGUAUACGGUGUGACGCCUGCCCGGUGCCGGAAGGUUAAUUGAUGGGGUCAGCGCAAGCGAAGCUCCUGAUCGAAGCCCCGGUAAACGGCGGCCGUAACUAUAACGGUCCUAAGGUAGCGAAAUUCCUUGUCGGGUAAGUUCCGACCUGCACGAAUGGCGUAAUGAUGGCCAGGCUGUCUCCACCCGAGACUCAGUGAAAUUGAACUCGCUGUGAAGAUGCAGUGUACCCGCGGCAAGACGGAAAGACCCCGUGAACCUUUACUAUAGCUUGACACUGAACAUUGAGCCUUGAUGUGUAGGAUAGGUGGGAGGCUUUGAAGUGUGGACGCCAGUCUGCAUGGAGCCGACCUUGAAAUACCACCCUUUAAUGUUUGAUGUUCUAACGUGGACCCGUGAUCCGGGUUGCGGACAGUGUCUGGUGGGUAGUUUGACUGGGGCGGUCUCCUCCUAAAGAGUAACGGAGGAGCACGAAGGUUGGCUAAUCCUGGUCGGACAUCAGGAGGUUAGUGCAAUGGCAUAAGCCAGCUUGACUGCGAGCGUGACGGCGCGAGCAGGUGCGAAAGCAGGUCAUAGUGAUCCGGUGGUUCUGAAUGGAAGGGCCAUCGCUCAACGGAUAAAAGGUACUCCGGGGAUAACAGGCUGAUACCGCCCAAGAGUUCAUAUCGACGGCGGUGUUUGGCACCUCGAUGUCGGCUCAUCACAUCCUGGGGCUGAAGUAGGUCCCAAGGGUAUGGCUGUUCGCCAUUUAAAGUGGUACGCGAGCUGGGUUUAGAACGUCGUGAGACAGUUCGGUCCCUAUCUGCCGUGGGCGCUGGAGAACUGAGGGGGGCUGCUCCUAGUACGAGAGGACCGGAGUGGACGCAUCACUGGUGUUCGGGUUGUCAUGCCAAUGGCACUGCCCGGUAGCUAAAUGCGGAAGAGAUAAGUGCUGAAAGCAUCUAAGCACGAAACUUGCCCCGAGAUGAGUUCUCCCUGAGACUUAGAGUCUCCUGAAGGAACGUUGAAGACGACGACGUUGAUAGGCCGGGUGUGUAAGCGCAGCGAUGCGUUGAGCUAACCGGUACUAAUGAACCGUGAGGCUUAACCUUACAACGCCGAAG